UACGAAGGGGGCUAGCGUUGCUCGGAAUUACUGGGCGUAAAGCGCACGUAGGCGGAUUGUUAAGUCGGGGGUGAAAUCCUGGAGCUCAACUCCAGAACUGCCUUUGAUACUGGAGAGCUUGAGUCCGGAAGAGGUGAGUGGAACUCCGAGUGUAGAGGUGAAAUUCGUAGAUAUUCGGAAGAACACCAAUUGCGAAGGCAGCUCGCUGGGACGGUACUGACGCUGAGACGCGAAAGCGUGGGGAGCGAACAGG
rnacentral:rRNA from 1 species